UUAAUAACUAAAUGUUUGUUGCAUCGCCAUGUUGUCCCGGUUCGAUGAACGGUCGGGUUUAAGACAUUGAUUUUCUUUUUUGGAACAUCGAAAGAAGAAGAUUCUGGCAAUGGGAGACGCCACCGGAGAAGGAGAUCGUGAAACUCUCGAAGCUGUACGGUCAGUGGUGUUCAAGCCGUCCGAGACCCUAGACGAGAAGAGAUUCCCGAGGAUCAGCGGCUAUGAUUUCAACCGUGGGGUGGACCUCAUGGGCCUACUGCAUUCCAUGGCCACCACUGGAUUCCAAGCAUCCAACCUUGGAGAUGCCAUUGAUGUUGUCAAUCAAAUGUUAGAUUGGAGGCUUUCCCAUGAGGAGCCAAGAGAAGAUUGUGAUACAGAGGAGCUCAAUCCUGCCUUUAGACAAACCGUCAAGUGUAAAAUUUUUCUGGGAUUUACUUCAAACCUCAUAUCUUCUGGCAUCCGGGAGACUAUCCGGUUCCUUGUAGAGCAUCGAAUGGUAGAUGUUUUGGUUACGACAGCUGGUGGUAUAGAAGAGGACCUUAUCAAAUGCCUUGCACCAACAUAUAAAGGUGAUUUUUCUUUGCCUGGUGCUCAUCUGCGCUCAAAGGGAUUAAAUCGAAUUGGGAAUUUGUUGGUGCCUAAUGACAACUACUGCAAAUUUGAGGACUGGAUCAUGCCAAUUUUUGAUCAGAUGUUGCUGGAACAGUCUACAGAGAAUGUAAUUUGGACACCAUCAAAAGUGAUUGCCCGCCUUGGCAAAGAAAUAAACGACGGUUGUUCAUACCUCUACUGGGCACAUAAGAAUGGUAUUCCUGUCUUCUGCCCGGCAUUAACUGAUGGAUCAUUGGGGGACAUGUUGUAUUGCCAUUCAGUCCAGAAACCAGGUUUACUUAUUGAUAUCGUGCAAGAUAUAUGUGCAAUGAAUGGAGAAGCUGUUCAUGCAAGCCCUAGAAAGACUGGGAUCAUUGUUCUUGGUGGGGGGCUCCCAAAGCACCAUAUAUGUAACGCCAACAUGUUACGCAAUGGUGCAGAUUAUGUUGUUUACAUCAACACAGCACAGGAGUUUGAUGGGAGUGAUUCUGGAGCACGGCCUGAUGAGGCAGUUUCAUGGGGAAAAAUAAAAGGUUCUGCAAAAACUAUUAAACAAAGCAAAUAGAAAAGAAAUGAAGACACUGAUUCUCAAGGCGUAUGUUUGCAUUACAAAGUAAACUCAGGACCACCUUCAUUGCCAGUUGAGUUGAUGGAGUCUUGCUAAGGUUCAUUGUGAUGCAACAAUUGCUUUUCCUUUGCUGGUGGCUGCAACAUUUGCGCGAAGGUUGCAGGAAGGGACUAGCACCAUUUAACCUUGGAGCCCAUGCAAGCAGAGUCAUGUAGUAUCAGUCAAUUUUCGCUCCCCAACCAGUAUUGCCCUUUUCUUCCCUUGUUCCUUUCCAUGUUGGUGGAAUCACUUUCUCUACAAAAACAUGAAGUUAAAUGAACUGCAACUAGACGAAUCAAGCUGGAAUAUACCGAGGUUCUCACCCAUCCACACUUCAAGGUCCUCCCGGGAAAGGUAAAUCUGAAAACUUGUUCAUUAUUGGUAAGAUCCAAUAUGCCACUCCAUGGAUGAUUUGGAUAGGCAUCACAUCAUUUUGUAUCUGAACAUGCUCAAGCAUGAAAACCAAAUAAUUAGCCUGUAAUUUAUUCUCUUUGAUUGGGCAAUGCAACGUAUAUUUAGUAGCAUUUCUAUGUGCAAUAACUUGAUCUUUUCAACUGAUGAGACUAAUGCCACUUGUGCAACGAGUUGGUACUCUUUAUGUCUU